UAGGGGCAGAUCUCAUACCUUCCAAGGGUA
rnacentral:piRNA from 1 species